CCCACUCCACAGCCUUUAUUUGUGAAUUAAUAUCCCUAAUUCUACUAUAGCUUUUUCUGUUUUGUUUGGUGUUUGAAAUUGGGUUUCAUGUAUCCCAGACUGGCUUCACUCACUCACUAUGUAGCUAAGUGUAGCCUUGAACUGCUGGUCCUCCCGCCUCUGCCUGUGAGUAUUGAGAUUACAAAUGGGCCCCACUCUGCCAGUUUUCACCUAGAUGCUCCAGUGUGAGCACAGAGCUACAUCCCUAGCCUCUUAUUUUAGUUUUUGUCUACCUUAAUUUGUGUGUGUGCGUGGGUGCGUGCGUGCGUGCGUGCGUGUGUUUGUGAUAGCACAUAUGUAAAAGUGGUCAUAGAACAUUUGGGAGCCAGCUCCAGGAAUGAACCAAACUUCAUCAGGUUUGUUGGAUCUUAUGUAACCCAAGACAGCCUGGAACUAUCUAUAGAGCCAUGGAUGACCUUGAAUUCCUGAUCCGCCUGCCCCUACCUCCCAAGUUCUGAGGUGACAGCAUUUCUAUGCCUGGUUCCAGAUUUUUUGUAAUAUUGAAGCCAUCUAGGAUCCCUCUACAUGGAUAGUCUUAUACGCUGUUUUCCUCUUUUUAAGAGAUCACAAAAAUAUCCCAUGCAGAAGAUGAACCUAGUGCUUUGAAGAUGUGAAACAAAGAUACUAUGAGAGAAAACACCAAUCGCCAAACAAAAUAAAC
rnacentral:lncRNA from 1 species